UGCUUUCAAAGUAACUUAGCGGCGGACGGGUGAGUAACACGUAGGCAACCUGCCCUUCAGACUGGGAUAACUACCGGAAACGGUAGCUAAUACCGGAUAAUUUCUUUUUUCUCCUGAGAGAAGAAUGAAAGACGGAGCAAUCUGUCACUGAGGGAUGGGCCUGCGGCGCAUUAGCUAGUUGGUGGGGUAACGGCCCACCAAGGCGACGAUGCGUAGCCGACCUGAGAGGGUGAACGGCCACACUGGGACUGAGACACGGCCCAGACUCCUACGGGAGGCAGCAGUAGGGAAUCUUCCGCAAUGGGCGAAAGCCUGACGGAGCAACGCCGCGUGAGUGAUGAAGGUUUUCGGAUCGUAAAGCUCUGUUGCCAGGGAAGAACGUCCGGUAGAGUAACUGCUACCGGAGUGACGGUACCUGAGAAGAAAGCCCCGGCUAACUACGUGCCAGCAGCCGCGGUAAUACGUAGGGGGCAAGCGUUGUCCGGAAUUAUUGGGCGUAAAGCGCGCGCAGGCGGCUAUUUAAGUCUGGUGUUUAAACCUUGGGCUCAACCUGAGGUCGCACUGGAAACUGGGUGGCUUGAGUACAGAAGAGGAAAGUGGAAUUCCACGUGUAGCGGUGAAAUGCGUAGAUAUGUGGAGGAACACCAGUGGCGAAGGCGACUUUCUGGGCUGUAACUGACGCUGAGGCGCGAAAGCGUGGGGAGCAAACAGGA
rnacentral:rRNA from 1 species